AAAUCACCCAAGGCUGCUGCGUGUGGCAGUACAGCCAAGGACAGAGCCACAGCAUUUCACUCAUGCAUCUGCGCUCCUGCUGAAGCCAAACGCAGCCACAGCUGAGGGGAAUGAAGAGGGGAAGCUCUUUUGCAGCAAGCAAUGUGGGAUACUUGAGAAGAGAAAAUGAACUUCCAGCCAUCAGCAAGAACGGAAAUUCGAGCUGUUUUGUCACAGACCAAUAUUGAAGAUUCUGUGGCAUGGCCACAGCUAGCCAAUUCCAACAAGACCUGUCCAUAAAUUAUCAGACAGGAUGGGAUCAGAGUGUGACUGAGGGAAGUCACAAGAAAUCUGAAGCUUUUGGUUAUGUUGGCAGCAUGACUUGUGGCUCUGAGCCCAGCUGCAAGGAGAGACGUGUGCCUCCCACCACCUCCUCCCAGAAGGAUGUCAUCAAGGCAGCCCCGCCAGGGACCAGCACCUGGCCAAAUGGAAGAACAGCAAAUGGCUGGGUGGAAAGAUUCCAGACAGGGCUGGACUGGCAGCUGGAUCUUGCCCUCACUAUGUUCUGUGCGCUUAAUAGGUAUUGCAAUUAUCAUGUAAUUAAAGAACAUCAUAACAUGUACAAGUAG
rnacentral:lncRNA from 1 species